GCGGCUGGAGGGGAGCACACCGCGGAGGCAGUGCCCAGAGAGGUGCGCAUCUCUCCGCCCCGCCCCUCCCCCUCGGCCUCGUGGCGGCGGCGGCGGUGGCAGCAGCAGUAGCGGUGCUGGCGGCUUGGAGAACUGGAGAGCCGGGCAGCCCAGAUCUGAGUCGAGUCUGAGACCUACACCACAGCUCACAGCAACACGGAAUCCUUAACCCACUGAGCUAGGCCAGGGAUCGAACUUGCGUCCUCAUGCAUACGAGUCAGAUUCAUUUCCACUGAGCCACGACAGGAACUCCCUAAAUAUAUUUGUUAAUAAACCAAUGGUUCUCCAGACUUUUCAGCAUACUGAGUGCUAAAGCAAACAAGAGAUUCUUCUCAAAAUAUGUUGGUGGCUUGAGAGAUGUCAUGACCAAGUGGUGAUCUAUACAGAAGCUUGCAGUGGAUCAAUGUGGCAUCUCAGUUCCCAGGCCAGGGAUUGGAUGGCGGUGGUGAAAGUGCAAAAAAGCCCUAAUCACUAACCCAGCAGGGAGCUCCAGAUAUGGUGUCACACAAGGAGUCAGCAAAGUGCCAGCUGAAUCUUCACAGUCCUCUCUAAUGUCCCAAGUGCUUCAGAAAAUGAAUCUAUUUGAGGCAUCAGUGUCCUUCAAGGAUGUGACUGUGGAGUUUACCCAGGAGGAGGGGCAGCAGAUGAGCCCUGCUCAGAGGAUCCUGUACAGAGAUGUGAUGCUGGAGAACUACAGCCACCUUGUGCCAUUGCAUGAGCCUCCUUUAUCAUGCAACCCUGCCUAGAGUGUGAUCGGUUUUCUGUUUCUGCUUCUUUUAAAACCACCUAUUUUGAGGGAAAAUUAAUGGAAAGUAAAAUUCAGCAAAUUUUUGUGUAUCAUUCAAUGAAUUUUUAAAAAUGUGUCCGGCUCUAUCACCAAAAUCAUGACACAAAUGAUUUCUCUCAGAGGAAAAUUUUCCUUAUGCCUUCUUAAUUAGUCCUCUCUUCCCAGCCAUUUUCUUUUUCUAUUCUUUUUUCUUUUUUUUUUUUAAUUCCUGUUUUUGAUAAUCACCAGUCUUCUCCCCAGGUCAAUACUUUCUCUUCUUCUUUGAAAUUUCGUAUAAAUAGAAUCAGACUUCAUGUGCUCUUUUUUCCUAUGGCUUCUUUCCUUUAGUGUAAUUCUUUUAGGAUUCAUGAAUAUUAUUUUGUGUAUUAUUAUUUAUUCCUUUUAUCAGUGAGUAAUGUUCAUUUUAUGUCAUGUCCUUCCAAUUGCUGAUAAGACAUUAUAUUCCUUUUCCAUUUGGUGCUUUCAUAAGUAAAGGUGUCAUGAAUAUUUCAGUCCAAGUCUUCGUAUAUCUGUAUUUUCAUUCUUUUGUAUAAAGACCUUAGAGGUGGUUUCCUAGGACUGUUGGCAAGUAUUCAUAGGAAUAUCUCAUUUUAUUGUGCUUUAUUUUUUUUCUGCUUCCCAGCUGUUUAUUUAUUUAUUUACUUUAAAUGGAAGGGUCAUUGGAAGCCCCUUGUGUCAACCACGUCUAUUGCUGUCAGUUUUCCAACAGCAUUUGCUUGCUUUAUGGCUCUGUGUCAUGUCUUGGUAAUUCUCACUACAUUUCAUACUCUUUCAUUAUUGUAUUUGUUGUGGUAAUCUGUGAUCUUUAAUGUUGCAUUGUAAUUGUUUGGGGGCACCAUGCAUUGUGCCCAUAGAGGAUGGCAAACUUAAUUGAUAAAUGUUGUCAGUGUUCAGACUGCUCCACUGACUGGCCAUUCCCCCAUCUCUGUCUCUAUUCAGCCUUCAGUAUUCCCUGAGACACAGUAACAUUGACCUUAGGUCAAUUAACACCACAAUGGCCUGUAAAUGUUCAAGUCAAGGAAGAAUUGCAUGUCACUUAAUUUAAAUUAAAAGCUAUAAAUUAUCCAUGAAGAAGGCAUGUUGAAAGCCAAGACUGACCAAAAGCUAGGCCGCUUACAUCAAACAGCCAAGUUGUGAAAGUGAAGAAAGAGUUCUUGGAGGCGAGUCAAAGGGCUAACUCCAGUGAACACAUGAAUGAUUAGAAAGUGAAGCAACUAAUGUCCUGGAUAGGUCAAACCAGCCACAACUGUCCCUUAGGCUAAAGCCUAAUCCAGGGCAAGGCCAUAACUCUUCAAUUCUGUGAAGGCUGAGAGAGAUGAGGGACCUAGAGUAGAAGUGCUUGAGUCUACUAUAGGUUGGUUCAUGAUGGUGAGAGGAAGAUUUUAUCUCUAAGAUGAAUGUGCAAGGGGGAGCAGCAAGUGCUGAUAGAAAAGCUGCAGCAGGUUAUUCAGAAGAUCUAGCUGAGAAGAUUCAUGAAGGUGGCUGUAACUACAUGGCAAAUUUCAGUAUAGAUUAAAUACUCUUCUGUUAGAGGAAGAUGCCAUCUAGGACUUUCAUAGGAAGAGAGAAGUCAGUUCCUGGCUUUAAAGCUUCAAAGGACAGACUGACUGUCUUGUGAGGGGCUAAUGCUGUUGGUGACUAAAUUGAAGCCGCUGCUCAUUUACCAUUGCAGAAAUACUAGUGCCCUUAGGAAUUAUGCUGAGUCUAUUUUGCCUGUGCUCUAGAAAUGGAACAACAAAGCCUGGGUGACAGCACAUUUGCUGACAACAUGGUUUACUGAGUAUUUUUAGCCUACUGACCUACUGCUCAGACAAAAGUUUCCUUUGAAAAUAUGUUCAUUAACAAUGCCCUUGGUAUCUCAAGAGCUCUGCUGGCAAUGUACAGUGGGUUUCGUAUUGUUCUUGUGCUUGCUAAUACAACAUCCAUUCUGCAGCCCUUAUGUCAAGGAGUUGUUUUAACUUUCAAGUCUUAUUAAUUAAGAAAUACAUAUUGUAAGGCUAUGGCUACCAUAGAACGUGAUUCCUCUGUGGAUAUGGGCAAAGUCAAUUGAGAGCCUUCUGGGAAGGUUUGACCAUUCUAGAUGCCAUAAGAACUUUUGUGAUUCCUGGGGAGAGGUCACAGUAUUAGUAUUAUGAGCUUGGAAGACAUCAAUUUUCAUCCUUAUGGAUGUCUUUGAGGGGUUCUAAACUUCAGUGUAGUAAGUAACAGCAGAUGUAGUAGAAGAAACAGAACUACAAGUAAAAUCUGAAGAUGUGACUCAGUUGCUUCAAUCCCAUGAUAAAACUUUAAUGGAUGAGGAGUUGCUUCUUGAAGGAGCAAGGAAAGUUUUUUGAGAUGGAAUUCUUCCUGGUGAAGCCACCAUUAAGAUCCUUCACAUUGCAACAAAGGAUUUAGAAUAUAACACACAUUUAGUUAAUAAAAUGGUGGCAGGGUGUGAGAGGACAGACUCUAGUGUGGAAAGAGGUUGACAGUUGUUAAAAUGCUGUCAACUAGCUUUGCAUUUUACGGAGAAAUCAGGAAAGGAAGAGUCCAUCGAUGUGAUGAACUUAUCUUCUUUUAAGAAAUUGCCACAAUCACCCCAUCCUUCAGUAACCAUCACUGUUGUUAGUCAGCAGCCAUCAACACUGAGGCAAGAGACUCCACCAGCAAGAUUAUCAGGCAUGGAAGGCUUAGAUGAUGGUUACCAUUUAUUAGCAAUAAAGCAGUUUAUUUAUUUUUUUUUUUCUUAGUCCACACCUGCAGCAUAUGGAAGUUCUUUAGCCACAGAUGGAACCCACACCUCAGUUGUGAACCACAGCUCCACACCUACUUAGGCUGUCUUCACACAACCAACCCUAGUUCUUUCCCUGGAACUGAUCUCUGAAGCCUGGGCCUCAGCAUUCAGCUUCCUGCUGAUUGUCUCAGGCUGUGGUGUCUAGAGCAAUGGUAUCCUUGGUCUGUGUGGCUCUUUCUCUGCUUUGCCCUCUUAAGUUCCCAGGGCAGGGAUGCCUUUGAAUAAUACCUUGUAACUUUAGCUAUGUAAUGAGGAUGUUAGAACAGAAUAUUUCAAUUUUCUGACUUUCAUCUUUUGUGUUAUUGUCAUUCAUUUUACUUCUACAUAUCUUGUAAUUCUCUAUAAUUACAUUGUUAUCAUGUAAUAGUAUUUCUACUCUAGUAGCUUUUUUAAAUGAGGAAAGUGUGCUUUAUUUACAUAUUGUCCAUUUACUGUUCUCUUUAUUUCUUUGUGUAGAUUCACAUUUGCACUUUUUAAAAAAAAUGUAAAUGACUUUUUUAAACUUACUUUUUUUUUUCUUUUUAAGGCCAUACAUGCAGCAUAUGAUAGUUCCCAGGCUAGAAAGGGGUUGAAAUGGAGCUGCAGCUGUUGGCCUACACUGCAGACACAGCAAUGUAGGAUCCAAGCUGCCUUUGCAACCCAUACCACAGCUCAUGGCAACACUGGAUACUUAACCCACUGAUCGAGGCCAGACAUCUAACCUGAGUCUUCAUGGAUUCUUUAUCACUGAGCCACAAUGGGAACUUUCUAACUUUUCUUUUUUCUUUUCUUUUCUUUUCUUUUCUUUUCUUUUCUUUUCUUUUCUUUUCUUUUCUUUUCUUUCCUUCCUUCCUUCCUUCCUUCCUUCCUUCCUUCCUUCCUUCCUUCCUUCUUUCACUGCACCCAUGGCAUAUGGAAGUUCCCAGGCUAAGUGUCGAAUCGGAGGUAUAGCUGCCAGCCUAUGCCACAGCCAUAGCAAUGCAAGAUCCAAGUCGAAUCUGCAACCUACACCAUAGCUUAUGGCAAUGUCGGAUCCUUAACUCACUGACUGAGGCCAGGGAUCAAACCUGUAUCCUCUUGGAUACUAGUCGGGUUCAUUAACCACUGAGCCACAACGGAAACUCCAACUUUUAUAUCAGGUAAUCUGGCCAAUGAA
rnacentral:lncRNA from 9 species